AUUCAGCUGACGAGUCCGAAAUAGAAAGAAACGCGCAUCCUGUAU
rfam:Schistosoma mattheei strain Denwood, Zambia genome assembly, scaffold: SMTD_scaffold0001474